AAUGAACGCUGGCGGCAUGCCUAACACAUGCAAGUCGAACGAAGCCUUCGGGCUUAGUGGCGCACGGGUGCGUAACGCGUGGGAAUCUGCCCUUGGGUUCGGAAUAACAGAGAGAAAUUUCUGCUAAUACCGAAUGAUGUCGCAAGACCAAAGAUUUAUCGCCCAGGGAUGAGCCCGCGUAGGAUUAGCUAGUUGGUGUGGUAAAGGCGCACCAAGGCGACGAUCCUUAGCUGGUCUGAGAGGAUGAUCAGCCACACUGGGACUGAGACACGGCCCAGACUCCUACGGGAGGCAGCAGUGGGGAAUAUUGGACAAUGGGCGAAAGCCUGAUCCAGCAAUGCCGCGUGAGUGAUGAAGGCCUUAGGGUUGUAAAGCUCUUUUACCCGGGAAGAUAAUGACUGUACCGGGAGAAUAAGCUCCGGCUAACUCCGUGCCAGCCGCCGCGGUAA
rnacentral:rRNA from 1 species